AUGCACUGUAUGACUGAUGAGGCAAAAAAAAAAAAAAAAAAAAAAAAAAAAAAAAA
rnacentral:ribozyme from 1 species